rnacentral:rRNA from 1 species
UAGCGGCGGACGGGUGAGUAACGCGUGGGAACGUGCCCUUUGGUACGGAAUAGCCCCGGGAAACUGGGAGUAAUACCGUAUGUGCCCUACGGGGGAAAGAUUUAUCGCCAAGGGAUCGGCCCGCGUUGGAUUAGGUAGUUGGUGGGGUAAAGGCCUACCAAGCCGACGAUCCAUAGCUGGUUUGAGAGGAUGAUCAGCCACACUGGGACUGAGACACGGCCCAGACUCCUACGGGAGGCAGCAGUGGGGAAUCUUAGACAAUGGGCGCAAGCCUGAUCUAGCCAUGCCGCGUGAGUGAUGAAGGCCCUAGGGUUGUAAAGCUCUUUCGUGGGGGAAGAUAAUGACUGUACCCCAAGAAGAAGCCCCGGCUAACUCCGUGCCAGCAGCCGCGGUAAU